GGGGGAUGGUCAGAUACUUGGCUUUGCCCCCGGCACAUUGUGCACCCGUGGCUGUGCUGUUGGAUUUGUGCUCCCAGCAUGUGCAGCCCCCU
rnacentral:pre_miRNA from 1 species